GUUGGCGGCGUGGAUUAGGCAUGCAAGUCGCACGAGUACACCAAUUAGCUUGCUAAGAGGUGGAUAGUGACGCAAGGGAGAGUAACGCGUGGUUACUUGCCCUCGAGACCGGGAUAGUGUUGGGAAACUGGCAGUAAUACCGGAUAACAUCUUCGGAUCAAAUGGUGUGAUUCCGCUCGAGGAUAGGACCGCGUACUAUUAGCUUGUUGGUGAGGUAACGGCUCACCAAGGCUGCGAUGGUUACCGGGUGUGAGAGCAUGGCCCGGCUCACUGGGACUGAGACACUGCCCAGACACCUACGGGUGGCUGCAGUCGAGAAUCUUCGGCAAUGGACGAAAGUCUGACCGAGCGACGCCGCGUGCGGGAUGAAGGCCCUCGGGUUGUAAACCGCUGUCAGUAGUUAGGAAGUCCAUGAGGGUUAUCUCUCAUGGUUGACCGAUCUUCAGAGGAAGGACGGGCUAAGU
rnacentral:rRNA from 1 species